rnacentral:rRNA from 1 species
AGGGUUUGAUCAUGGCUCAGAAUCGACGCUGGCUGUGUGCCUACAACAUGCAAGUCGAACGCGAAAGGGGCUUCGGCCCUGAGUAGAGUGGCAAACGGGUGAGUAACACGUGGGUGACCUGCCUUCGAGUGGGGGAUAACGUUUCGAAAGGAACGCUAAUACCGCAUAACAUCCUGCUUUUGGAAAGGUGGAGAUCAAAGCCGGGGAUCGUAAGACCUGGCGCUUGAAGAGGGGCCCGCGCCUGAUUAGCUAGUUGGUGGGGUAACGGCCUACCAAGGCGACGAUCAGUAUCCGGCCUGAGAGGGCGGACGGACACACUGGGACUGAGACACGGCCCAGACUCCUACGGGAGGCAGCAGUGGGGAAUUGUUCGCAAUGGGCGCAAGCCUGACGACGCAACGCCGCGUGGAGGACGAAGAUCUUCGGGUCGUAAACUCCUGUCGAGCGGGAAGAACAUCUGCCGGGCUAAUAUCCUGGCAGGCUGACGGUACCGCUAAAGGAAGCCCCGGCUAACUCCGUGCCAGCAGCCGCGGUAAUACGGGGGGGGCAAGCGUUGUUCGGAAUUACUGGGCGUAAAGGGCUCGUAGGCGGCCAACUAAGUCGGAUGUGAAAUCCCCAGGCUCAACCUGGGAACUGCAUCCGAUACUGGAUGGCUUGAGUUCGGGAGAGGGAUGCAGAAUUCCAGGUGUAGCGGUGAAAUGCGUAGAUAUCUGGAGGAAUACCGGUGGCGAAGGCGGCAUCCUGGACCGACAUUGACGCUGAGGAGCGAAAGCUAGGGGAGCAAACGGGAUUAGAUACCCCGGUAGUCCUAGCCCUAAACGAUGAAUGCUUGGUGUAGCGGGUAUCGA